rnacentral:misc_RNA from 1 species
GCCGGGAGGUUAUUCUAACCAGUAGAGACUGCUCCGCCGCUUCGAGGUGGACGCGCGCCAAAUUUUCAACUUGAACCAUCUCCGACGGGGAUGAUAUCGCGCGUUGAAACGAAUCGAGACAUCCGGUUCGCGGGAUUGAUCAUGAACACAUUUUUCAAGGAGGCGCGCACCAGUUGAAUCGGAGCGUUUCGUUGCCGCACAUUUUUCAUUGUCGGACCAGGUGACAAAGCGGUUUUUCUCCCGCUGCUAUUUAGCUCCGCAAUCCGCGUCUGUGACUUCCGCUUCCAAUGGCAAAUCAUCGCUCCUAGUUUUCUCAAUGGACUUUCCUCGCUUCUGACUUUUCCAUGCGUUCGAAAAAGUGCGCUUACGAGGAGACCAGAGACCAGAGCGCUUAGGCGACCGGCUCCGAGGAUGAUCGUCAGCUGCCUCAUCAUAGCCGGUGCAGCCGUCGUGGUCUCGUCAGCAGGUGGCCACGGAUUCGACGCUCAUCUACGAGGACCGAGUAUAAUCGUGGAGCCGCCGUCUCGCGUCGAGUUUUCAAACUCGAGCGGCGCCUGGCUCGACUGCACAGCUUCCGGGAGUCCUCCUCCAAACAUUGACUGGUGGACCGCCGACGGUCAUCCGGUUGGUGACGUUCCCGGCGUUAGAAGGGUACACAGAAAUGGCACCCUCGUUUUACUUCCGUUUCCACCCCCUGCCUUUCGACAGGACGUCCAUAGCGCCUCUUACAGAUGUGUCGCUAGCAACAGUGUCGGCAAAGUCCUCAGUCGUGACGUUCAAGUCAGAGCUGUGGUGGCACAGUCGUACAAGCCCGAGGUUGAAGUAAUGAGAGGGGUUUCGAGAGGGUGUACAGCGGUCCUGCGUUGCGUGGUGCCCAGUCACGCGAAGGAUCUCGUGCGAGUAGUUUCCUGGCUGCAAGAGCCCUCUUUUCACAUAUAUCCGUCGCUUCAAGGAGAUGGAAAAUUUCACCUUCUUCCAUCGGGGGAACUUCUGGUUCACAGCCUUGAAUUCAGCGAUCAGUUCCUAAGUUACAGGUGCAGAACGAUGCACCGAUUAACGAGACAGGUCGUUGUCAGUUCACCUGCAAACAUAAGGAUAGAAGACCACAGAGGCGUGAUACAGCCAGAAAUAUUGGAGCAUUCGGGAGUCGUGCAUGUGGCGCAAGACGAAUCGACGUCGCUGGUCUGCGUGGCGAAGGCGUGUCCAACGCCAGAAUACAGAUGGUACGCUCAAACCGGAGCCGAGGCCAUGCUCGUCCAACCAGGACCCAGGACCAGAUUACUCGGACCCGUUUUAUCCAUCGAAGCUGUCACUCUUGAUGACAGCGGAAUUUAUCGGUGCUCGGCUUCCAACAUCGGCGGGGAAACGAGUGCGGAUAUCAGAUUGAUCGUGACGGCGCCCCUCCACGUGGAAAUAACUCCGCCCUUGUUGAGCGUGCAUCUCGGUGGAAACGCGGAGUUUUACUGCGUAAUAGGAACCCAUACGCAGGCUGGGCCCCACUUCAUCACGUGGUACAAGGACGGCAGACAGCUUCCAGGCUCGGGGAGACAAUCCGACGUCCUCAGACUGAACGGCAUCGGUCGCGAAGAUCGCGGAAUGUAUCAGUGCAUCGUUAGGAGGGCUGAGGGUGAUUCGGCCCAGGCUUCGGCUGAACUUCAAUUGGGCGACGCACCGCCCGUUCUUCUGUACUCCUUCAUCGAACAAACUCUCCAGCCAGGGCCAGCGGUCUCGUUGAAAUGUUCAGCAGCUGGAAAUCCCACCCCUCAAGUCACCUGGGCACUCGAUGGUUUCCCAUUACCAACCAUCACGAGAUUCGUCAUUGGGCAAUACGUGACGGUGCACGGUGACGUGAUAUCGCACGUGAACAUCAGCCAAGUGAUGGUGGAAGACGGCGGAGAAUAUUCGUGCACGGCUGAGAAUCGAGCUGGCAAAGUGACGCACGCGGCACGUUUGAACGUCUACGGGCUCCCGUACAUUCGUUUCAUUCCAAAAGUGACGGCGGUAGCGGGCGAGACGCUGCGUCUGAAGUGUCCAGUGGCAGGAUAUCCGAUCGAGGAGAUCAAGUGGGAACGCACAGGCCGGGAGCUGCCGGACAAUAUUAGGCAGAAAGUAAUGCCCGAUGGGACGUUGGUCGUGUCGAGCGUUCAGAAGGACGGAGACACCGGAACGUACACUUGCUGGGCGCGGAACAAGCAAGGGCACAGCGCCCGGAGAUCGGGCGAUGUGACAGUGAUCGUACCCCCUAUAAUUGAGCCAUUUACCUUCCAAGAGGGACUGUCAGAGGGGAUGCGGACGCGGACGGUGUGCGGGGUCGCGGCGGGUGAUCCACCCCUUACGAUAUCCUGGUUAAAGGACGGUCAUAGUCUCGUUCCUCUCUCCCCGAAAUUGGCAACUGCCACUAACGUAUCCCAGCUGGAUUCCUACUCGAGUCUCCUGAGUAUAACGAAUCUUACGGCCGAGCAUUCGGGCGACUUUACCUGCGUCGCCGCGAACCCCGCCGCCGAGGUCAGGUACACGGCCAAGCUACAGGUAAAAGUGCCACCGCAUUGGGUCGUCGAACCGAAAGACGUGAGCGUCGAGAGAAACCGUCACGUCGCUCUCCAUUGUCAGGCCGAGGGUGUGCCCGCCCCCGUAAUCGUAUGGAAAAAGGCUACCGCAGGCAGUAAAUCCGGUGAGUACGAGGAAUUGCGAGAACGUGCACACACCAAACUCUUGAGCAACGGUACGCUCGUACUGCAACACGUUAAAGAGGACAGAGAAGGCUUUUAUCUCUGCCAGGCAAGCAACGGAAUUAGCACUGGAAUCGGCAAAGUUGUUCAACUCAAAGUCAAUUCUUCUCCGUACUUUGCUCCUGCGGCUCGUCCUGUGACCGUCAAGAAGGGCGACACAGCGACCCUUCACUGCGAAGUUCACGGUGAUAAACCAAUCACUGUGACGUGGCUCAAGAGUGGGAAAAUGGAGCUGAAUCCAUCGACCAAUUAUAGGGUGACAGUGAAGCAGGAAGUGACUCCUGACGGCGUGGUUGCUCAGCUACAAAUUUCGUCUUCCGAAGCCCCGGACAGCGGAGCUUAUUUUUGUCGAGCGAGUAAUCUUUACGGGAGGGACCAACAGCUCGUCCAGCUUCUCGUUCAAGAACCGCCGCAGCCUCCGAACAAUCUCGAAACUGCGAUGGUCGCUCCGAGGAGUAUCAACGUCAAAUGGCAGCAUAAAUCGCAAGACACGAGUGAGGUCACGAAGUACAUUCUUCAGUACAAAGAGGGCGAUGGUGGAAUGUGGCAACAGCAAGAAUUGAGCGGACCGCCGCUCCCAUACGCAGCUCUCAUUGACGAGCUGAAGCCAGCAACGAAAUACACGAUAAGAGUGAUCGCCGAGGGGCCGGCCGGCAGGUCAGCAUCUUCGGCUGACCUGGUGGUCAGAACCGAACCGGAAAGACCGGCCGGGCCGCCGAUAAAUAUAGCGGCGAGGCCACUGUCCCAUUCGGAAAUUUUGGUUACUUGGUCGCCUCCCCUGCCGGAACUACGUCACGGAGAGGUGCAAGGAUUCAACGUGGGCUACAGGGAAUCAACUUCCGGUAACUCGCCGUUCAAUUUCACUUCGGUCAUCGGAGAUGGCGAAGAAGGGGGUGGCGAACUCCGAUUGACGGGUCUACGACCUUACACGAGAUACACGAUCGUCGUGCAGGCUUACAAUCAAGUUGGAUCGGGCCCUCUCUCGGAACAACUUCCCACACAAACUCUCGAGGAUGUCCCGAGCAGACCACCGGAAGACGUUCGUUGCGCUGCUCUGACCUCGCAAUCCCUUCAAGUAUCUUGGCAACCACCCCCGAGUGCAUACACCAACGGAAUAAUUCAGGGAUACAAAUUGAAUUACGAGCCCGUUUUGACCGACGUGUGGCGGGGAAUCGAUGAAAUGGAAGUCCGGAAAACGAGUGUCUUAACGAUAGUUCUGUCAGGGCUGCGACGAUACACGAACUACAGUAUCCAAGUGGUAGCUUAUACCAGGGUGGGUGAUGGUGUACCAACGAGAACAACCUUUUGCCACACCGACGAAGACGUGCCGGGGAGUCCAGCAGACAUAAAAGUCGUAGUCAGUUCACCUCAAGCCCUUUUCAUAUCAUGGUUGCCGCCAUUGGAGCCAAACGGCAUUAUAACAAAGUACAAUUUGUACACAAGGAUCGUGGAUGGUCGCGAGGAAUUGAAUCACGGUAAAAGAAUGUUGCCGGCGACCAACACAUUCUUCGAAGCUUCGGAUCUCCAGCAGAGAGUCGAGUACCAGUUUUGGGUUACUGGGAGCACGAGGAUCGGUGAAGGACAAAGUUCUCGAGUGGCGGCCGAACUACCGACCAAUCGAGUGCCAGCGAGAAUCACUUCGUUCGGUGGACACAUCGUCAGGCCCUGGCGAGGUUCGGUCACUUUGGCGUGCAACGCCGUCGGUGACCCAACCAGGGAAUGGUACAAAGGCAACUCCGAACAGUUGCACACCGACUCAGGGCGGAAUAUCCAAGUCCUGCAGACCGGAGAACUCGUCCUGGCGAGCCUUCAGACUCAAGACGGCGGAAAUUAUACUUGCCAGGUUGAAAAUGCCCAGGGAAGCGACAGGCUGCACUACAGUCUCACGGUUCAGGUGCCCCCGAAAGCCCCGGUUCUCUACGUCACUAGUUCAACAUCGAGUAGCAUUCUCCUGCACUGGAAACCUGACUACAAUGGCGGUGCACCAUUGACUGGGUACACUCUGCACUAUCGUACGAGCCAGGGAAGCCUUCACGAGCUCCAACUUCCACGACGGGCGACCAACCACGAGCUGAAGGGCUUACUCUGUGGUAACAUGUACCACUUGUACUUGACAUCCCACAACAAAAUCGGUAGCAGCCCGAAUUCCCCUGUACUUUCUGUGCGGACGCAAGGUUUGCCACCCGGAAUACCCCCGUCAGCGACUUUCCUGGCGCCAAAUUCAACGACCCUUGCACUUCGACUCCACGCUUGGCCGGACAACGGAUGUCCAAUUGAUGAUUUUGUCAUUCAGUACAGACCUAUAAACGAAUUUCACUGGACUCUCGUCUCAAACAGCGUGAAAAUGGCUCGACGUUUCGUCGUCACGAAUCUUUCACCGAGCACUGUCUAUCAGCUGAAAGUCGAGGCUCACAAUGUCGCUGGUAGCAAUCACGCGGAGUUCACAUUCGUCACUUUGACCAAAGAUGGCGAACCGCCACCUCCGGAAUUGUCGGAACGAGGAAUCGCGACUGCCCUUCCAUUUUACGCCGACGUCAAAGUAAUGCUGCCACUAAUGAUAGCGGCUUUUGCGUUGUUGGCAGCCGUCGCGACUGUGGUUGUUCGUUGGAAAACUCGUCAUUUGGGGGACCGAGUGCAGCGGCCAAUGAAGGAGACCCAGGAGAAUCAGCAGAACGCGGAAACUCAGAGGGAACGCUAUUACGCGACUAUCCACAAGGUCGCUCUUCAGCAGGCUGCGAACGCGAGCGGUACAGACAAGAUUCCAGACGGCGGAGGACAUCUCUCCGUACGCUACGUUCCAGCUUUCGGAGGGGGGCGGGGGAAGCCUGGCAGGAUUGGGCGCUCUGGGCGGACUGGGAGGCGCGGCGGAAGCUUCAACCGCCGGGCUCCACUCGAACAACACUCUUCUUCACAGCUUCAUGUAUCACGAGCACGCGAUGACAGAAGGAUGCGCGAGUCCGCCACCUGCAGCGACGAGUAUGAAGAGUGUGUCGUCGCGGAGACGCCAACAGAGGAAGCAGCAGACUCCGGGCGAUGUGGACAGUGACGAGAGCGAGUCUGACCCGGACCAGCUGACCCGCUCUCGGACGGAGUCAUCGAAUCAACUGGACGCUGGCAAGUUGAAGCACAUUCGGGCAGUUUCAGAUUUCUUCUACCAUCCUACGUCCAGCACUUCCUCGGACAUUUCCCCGAUGUGCGAGCAGAAAUCACUGACACGGAGGGCACGUUCUAG